rnacentral:lncRNA from 1 species
UACGUUUUAGAUUUUCCUCUGAAACAUCUAUAAAAAUAAAAGAAAGGAUAACAAUAGAGGAAGGCUCUAAGCAUUUCAAAGUCAUAAAGAAAGAACCUACCAUGAACCAAUGUAAAUAAGACCAUUAGUGGACCCUAUUACCGAUAGAUCCUAAUAAGUCUCUAUGAUAAGAAAUUGCAUACUCAAAGAUCUCGGAAGAAUCUGAUCAAUAUUGAGAUUUUUGGAGUCACCCAGACAUUGAUAAGUUCGAGAUUAAUUGGACACCUUGCCGAAGAAUUAUGUGAAGUGAAAUAGAGGGUUCUGGAUUUUGUUACUUGUAGACCACUUAAGCUUUGCAUCUAUGAGAUUGGAAGACAAGUUAUUGGAAGAGAACUAAUUAACUUGGGAGUACUUAUGAAGUACAAGAGAAUAUAAGGAUGAAAUGAGACUUUCAAGGAGUCAAGAUUCUUUAUUGGAGAUAAGUGAUUGUUAUUUUUGAGGUUAAUAGUAUACAGUGAUAACGAGUUGGAUGAAUUCCAAAUAAAUCUAUCUUUAGUGUUGGAAGUUAGAAAAGUGAUGUACCAUUUCUGAAGUAUGUAUAGGAGCCAUAGAAAAUUGUAAGGCUGAGUAUAAUGUUUCAGAAGAGAUCAAUGAGUCAUUAUGAAAUCUUAAGAGACUUAGAUUGAGAUGAUAGACCUUAAUAAGUUGAGGAUCCAAAUAACUUAGGUAGAAAGAGUAAAUUGUUAAAUACGGAGAGAAGGUCUUGAUUCAAGAAGAUCUAUCUAAACCAUUUUCCACCAGAUUAAUUCUCGGGAGUCAGAAAAUACAUACAAUUGAUUUUUGGUGCCCCAUUUUUAUUGAAGAAUACAACCAUAAAUGAUGUUGAGGUCACAUAGAGGCAAUUAAGCGCCAUAAAGUCCCCUAUAUCAUUGUGAGGAAUCCUGUAUUUGGUUAUUU